rnacentral:sRNA from 1 species
CACAUGCCCCUCUGCCCCUGCCUAACAUGCUGGGUCUAAAGGCAGAACCACCAUGCCUGACAUUGUCCAUUAUUAAGACAUAUUCUUCCUCUUUUUCAGAACCAGAAAAACAUUCUGAGUGCAGGCUGGACCAUAUCAAAUUCUUGAAGAUUCAUAUCAACAGAUGUAUUUAAAAAUAAUACCAUUUAUAUUGUGAAAGUCUUUUUUUUUUUAAUGAAGCUAUCCCACAGGAUGGAGAUACAGCUCAAAGAUAAAGGGUUUGUAUAGCAUACAGAAGGUCCUGGUUUUAACGCUCAGAACUUUAAGGAAAAAGCAGCUUUGAAAAAAUAAUUAGAAGAAAUGGGGUUAGGAAGCUUCUUUGCCUCUGUUCACCACAUCAGCAAAGAAGUCUAUUCUCUAUUGGGCUUUCCAUUACAUUCCUAUGUUAUAAAACAAGUACAAGAUGGCCGUGAUCUACAACAACAGGCUAGUUCUGCCAAGUGUAUUUGGUCCUGAAUAGAUUGACAGCAUGUUGUUCCAAGGUCUACUUGUAUUAUAAAUGAAUAACAAAUUGUUCUGUGUCUUAUGUAUACUUUUCCUGCAUAGACUAUUUUAUAGCUCCUUAUAAUUACCCAUUAUCAAGGCUUCAUUAUAUUCAAUAUAGAUGAUAUCUCCAGCAUACAAAACAUGUUUAGUUUCUAGGCCAUUUUAUUUGUAUGUAUACAAUAAUUAGUGGCCUUCAUGAAACAAUGAAAUAUUUUUAUACAAUAAAUUUUAAAAUAUCACUUUUGGGCAAGUAUGUAGCAGUUUUGGUAUAGCCUCAUACAGAGAGCUCAACACAUAGAAUUAUUCCUCUUUGAAAAUCAUCUUCUGGUAUAGGUUACUAAAUGCUUCAUAUCUUAAAAAUAUUACAAACCUUCAAAUUUCAGGUUCAAAUUAUCCAGUAAAUACCAAAAAAAUUGAGGCGUGGAUUUUAUAGCAAUUAUAUAUUAAUUGAUGUUCCUCUAACAAAAAAACAUUGUUUAUUCUCUAAGUAAUAAGAAUUCUGACAUUUUCCCCCUGUCAUUAUGAAUCUGCAACAUAAAGUCUUCAACAGGACUUUAAAAGUUUUGAUUAACAUUUCACGGUAAAUUACAACUAAUCAUUUGUACUUCAUUUUGAUUUGAUUUCAGCCUAAAUUAAGUUUCUAUUUUAAUAUGAUUAGAGGUUUUGAAGACAAUAGAAUCUAAGAAGUAUACUUUUAUCUUAUAUCAAAGUGUACAAUUAUUCCAAUUGUCUUUUUAGGUCUGUGCUUUUCCUUUGCUUGUUCAGGGCCUCAUCGCAGAACCUAGAACAAUUCCUAUUAUUAAUCAGGGGCACUCAACAAGUGUAUCAGUGAAUUCACCUCCUGUCCACUAUGCUCUGCCUUCAUGGGGGUUGGGGAGUGGAAAGCCAGACAAGAUUUUUAACUCUACUUGUGAAAUCUUUUUAUUACACAGAUGUUUGGGCACAAGUUCUUCUACUCCCAUUGUACAGAAACCAUCCAUUUGAUUUAGUAAACAUAAGCAGUGCAUUGUGCUAUCGCAUGUUCCAAGUAUGGGUUACUAUUACCUCUGUUUUUGCUUUCCUUGUAUUGUCAAGUUCUGAGGUGAUUACUCAUCGGCUGUUUAUGCACAUAAUCAUAUAGGCUGGUUUGGCUUUCUGUUUGUUGAUUAAAAAGUUCUAUGGCACA